rnacentral:rRNA from 1 species
CAGCAGCCGCGGUAAUACAGAGGGUGCAAGCGUUAAUCGGAAUUACUGGGCGUAAAGCGCGCGUAGGUGGUUUGUUAAGUUGGAUGUGAAAUCCCCGGGCUUAACCUGGGAACUGCAUCCAAAACUGGCAAGCUAGAGUACGGUAGAGGGUGGUGGAAUUUCCUGUGUAGCGGUGAAAUGCGUAGAUAUAGGAAGGAACACCAGUGGCGAAGGCGACCACCUGGACUGAUACUGACACUGAGGUGCGAAAGCGUGGGGAGCAAACAGGAUUAGAUACCCGGGUGUCCCUGUCUCUUAUACA